rnacentral:rRNA from 1 species
CCUACGGGUGGCAGCAGUGAGGAAUAUUGGUCAAUGGACGCAAGUCUGAACCAGCCAUGCCGCGUGCAGGAAGACGGCUCUAUGAGUUGUAAACUGCUUUUGUACUAGGGUAAACGCAGAUACGCGUAUCUUUCUGAAAGUAUCGUACGAAUAAGGAUCGGCUAACUCCGUGCCAGCAGCCGCGGUAAUACGGAGGAUUCCAGCGUUAACCGGAUUUAUUGGGUUUAAAGGGUGCGUAGGCGGUCGGAUAAGGUAGAGGUGAAAUCCCGAGGCGGAACUUCGGAAUUGCCUCUGAUACUGUUCGGCUAGAGAGUAGUUGCGGUAGGCGGAAUGUAUGGUGUAGCGGUGAAAUGCUUAGAGAUCAUACAGAACACCGAUUGCGAAGGCAGCUUACCAAGCUACUUCUGACGUUGAGGCACGAAAGCGUGGGGAGCAAACAGGAUUAGAUACCCGUGUAGUC